CUCAGGAUAAGCUGUGUCCCAACUGUUCCUCUCUACAGAUCGCAGGGCACACCUGCAAGGUCAGAGUACGAUCAAGGAACGGGAAAUCC
rnacentral:ribozyme from 1 species